rnacentral:RNase_P_RNA from 1 species
UUUAUGUCUGAAAAGUUGAGGAAAGUCCAUGCUCACACAGACUGUGAUGUCUGUAGUGUUUGUGCUUAGGAAAAAAAUAACCUAAGGUAGUUAAUACUAACGACAAAAAGGAAGUCUAAGUUUUUUAAAUAUGACUUCUUUUUAUAAAGUGCCACAGAGACGAAUAAGGCGAAAGCUGGAAAUGAAACGAGGUAAACUCCGCAAGUGAGAAACCCAAAUUAUGGUAGGGGAGCUGGAGAACAGAACAUGGCUUAUAAAUAUUAUUUGUUAUUAUAGAGGUGUUUAAGGUGAAAGA